GAAAAGAACCUAGGAACUGCUAAUUCACAAACCUGAUACUUAACCGUCAGAACUUUC
rnacentral:tRNA from 1 species